rnacentral:rRNA from 1 species
GGGUUGUGAGGUUAAGCGACUAAGCGUACACGGUGGAUGCCCUGGCAGUCAGAGGCGAUGAAGGACGUGCUAAUCUGCGAUAAGCGUCGGUAAGGUGAUAUGAACCGUUAUAACCGGCGAUUUCCGAAUGGGGAAACCCAGUGUGAUUCGUCACACUAUCAUUAACUGAAUCCAUAGGUUAAUGAGGCGAACCGGGGGAACUGAAACAUCUAAGUACCCCGAGGAAAAGAAAUCAACCGAGAUUCCCCCAGUAGCGGCGAGCGAACGGGGAGCAGCCCAGAGCCUGAAUCAGUGUGUGUGUUAGUGGAAGCGUCUGGAAAGGCGCGCGAUACAGGGUGACAGCCCCGUACACAAAAAUGCACAUACUGUGAGCUCGAUGAGUAGGGCGGGACACGUGGUAUCCUGUCUGAAUAUGGGGGGACCAUCCUCCAAGGCUAAAUACUCCUGACUGACCGAUAGUGAACCAGUACCGUGAGGGAAAGGCGAAAAGAACCCCGGCGAGGGGAGUGAAAAAGAACCUGAAACCGUGUACGUACAAGCAGUGGGAGCACAGAGCAAUCUGUGUGACUGCGUACCUUUUGUAUAAUGGGUCAGCGACUUAUAUUCUGUAGCAAGGUUAACCGAAUAGGGGAGCCGAAGGGAAACCGAGUCUUAACUGGGCGUUAAGUUGCAGGGUAUAGACCCGAAACCCGGUGAUCUAGCCAUGGGCAGGUUGAAGGUUGGGUAACACUAACUGGAGGACCGAACCGACUAAUGUUGAAAAAUUAGCGGAUGACUUGUGGCUGGGGGUGAAAGGCCAAUCAAACCGGGAGAUAGCUGGUUCUCCCCGAAAGCUAUUUAGGUAGCGCCUCGUGAAUUCAUCUCCGGGGGUAGAGCACUGUUUCGGCAAGGGGGUCAUCCCGACUUACCAACCCGAUGCAAACUGCGAAUACCGGAGAAUGUUAUCACGGGAGACACACGGCGGGUGCUAACGUCCGUCGUGAAGAGGGAAACAACCCAGACCGCCAGCUAAGGUCCCAAAGUCAUGGUUAAGUGGGAAACGAUGUGGGAAGGCCCAGACAGCCAGGAUGUUGGCUUAGAAGCAGCCAUCAUUUAAAGAAAGCGUAAUAGCUCACUGGUCGAGUCGGCCUGCGCGGAAGAUGUAACGGGGCUAAACCAUGCACCGAAGCUGCGGCAGCGACGCUUAUGCGUUGUUGGGUAGGGGAGCGUUCUGUAAGCCUGUGAAGGUGUACUGUGAGGUAUGCUGGAGGUAUCAGAAGUGCGAAUGCUGACAUAAGUAACGAUAAAGCGGGUGAAAAGCCCGCUCGCCGGAAGACCAAGGGUUCCUGUCCAACGUUAAUCGGGGCAGGGUGAGUCGACCCCUAAGGCGAGGCCGAAAGGCGUAGUCGAUGGGAAACAGGUUAAUAUUCCUGUACUUGGUGUUACUGCGAAGGGGGGACGGAGAAGGCUAUGUUGGCCGGGCGACGGUUGUCCCGGUUUAAGCGUGUAGGCUGGUUUUCCAGGCAAAUCCGGAAAAUCAAGGCUGAGGCGUGAUGACGAGGCACUACGGUGCUGAAGCAACAAAUGCCCUGCUUCCAGGAAAAGCCUCUAAGCAUCAGGUAACAUCAAAUCGUACCCCAAACCGACACAGGUGGUCAGGUAGAGAAUACCAAGGCGCUUGAGAGAACUCGGGUGAAGGAACUAGGCAAAAUGGUGCCGUAACUUCGGGAGAAGGCACGCUGAUAUGUAGGUGAAGUCCCUCGCGGAUGGAGCUGAAAUCAGUCGAAGAUACCAGCUGGCUGCAACUGUUUAUUAAAAACACAGCACUGUGCAAACACGAAAGUGGACGUAUACGGUGUGACGCCUGCCCGGUGCCGGAAGGUUAAUUGAUGGGGUCAGCGCAAGCGAAGCUCUUGAUCGAAGCCCCGGUAAACGGCGGCCGUAACUAUAACGGUCCUAAGGUAGCGAAAUUCCUUGUCGGGUAAGUUCCGACCUGCACGAAUGGCGUAAUGAUGGCCAGGCUGUCUCCACCCGAGACUCAGUGAAAUUGAACUCGCUGUGAAGAUGCAGUGUACCCGCGGCAAGACGGAAAGACCCCGUGAACCUUUACUAUAGCUUGACACUGAACAUUGAGCCUUGAUGUGUAGGAUAGGUGGGAGGCUUAGAAGUGUGGACGCCAGUCUGCAUGGAGCCGACCUUGAAAUACCACCCUUUAAUGUUUGAUGUUCUAACGUUGACCCGUAAUCCGGGUUGCGGACAGUGUCUGGUGGGUAGUUUGACUGGGGCGGUCUCCUCCUAAAGAGUAACGGAGGAGCACGAAGGUUGGCUAAUCCUGGUCGGACAUCAGGAGGUUAGUGCAAUGGCAUAAGCCAGCUUGACUGCGAGCGUGACGGCGCGAGCAGGUGCGAAAGCAGGUCAUAGUGAUCCGGUGGUUCUGAAUGGAAGGGCCAUCGCUCAACGGAUAAAAGGUACUCCGGGGAUAACAGGCUGAUACCGCCCAAGAGUUCAUAUCGACGGCGGUGUUUGGCACCUCGAUGUCGGCUCAUCACAUCCUGGGGCUGAAGUAGGUCCCAAGGGUAUGGCUGUUCGCCAUUUAAAGUGGUACGCGAGCUGGGUUUAGAACGUCGUGAGACAGUUCGGUCCCUAUCUGCCGUGGGCGCUGGAGAACUGAGGGGGGCUGCUCCUAGUACGAGAGGACCGGAGUGGACGCAUCACUGGUGUUCGGGUUGUCAUGCCAAUGGCACUGCCCGGUAGCUAAAUGCGGAAGAGAUAAGUGCUGAAAGCAUCUAAGCACGAAACUUGCCCCGAGAUGAGUUCUCCCUGACUCCUUGAGAGUCCUGAAGGAACGUUGAAGACGACGACGUUGAUAGGCCGGGUGUGUAAGCGCAGCGAUGCGUUGAGCUAACCGGUACUAAUGAACCGUGAGGCUUAACCUUACAACGCCGAAGGUGUUU